CAGUUUCACAAGUUUUGAUCUCCGGUAUUGGACGCAAACUUGCUGAUGUUAGUAAAAAAAAACAAAAACAAUAAAACAAAAAGCAAAACAAGAAGCAAAACGGUUGGAACAUUCCUUAAGGGAUGGUAAAGCAUUUUGUGUAAUAGAUUCCUUAUCUAAUUUGUAAAGUCUUUACUGAAUAAUCCCAGCAGAGAACUGAAGUUCUGAGUGACGAUGAUGAAAUUUGUAGAUCUGCCAACUUGCUGAUGAAUAUGAAGCAUGUCUUGGGAGAGACUCUCUGGCAAAUACAGCACUUUUAAACUGACGAUAUUUGCACUGCGUUCACAUACAUCAAAUACAAAUACACUUGUUAAUUGGACUUAUUCGAGAAACAUUUAUUGUAAAACCCAAAAGUUGGAUUCUCUUUUAUCUGAUACACCAUACACAACAAAGGAUUAUAUAAUAAAGCUUAUGUAAAAACUA